UGGGGAAUUUUGCACAAUGGGGGAAACCCUGAUGCAGCGACGCCGCGUGAUUUAGAAGGCCUUCGGGUUGUAAAAAUCUUUUGUAUAGGAAGAAAAUGACAGUACUAUACGAAUAAGGACCGGCUAAUUACGUGCCAGCAGCCGCGGUAAUACGUAAGGUCCGAGCGUUGUCCGGAAUCAUUGGGCGUAAAGGGUACGUAGGCGGCCCAGUAAGUUAGAAGUGAAAUAAUAUAGCUCAACUAUAUAAAGCUUUUAAAACUGCUAGGCUUGAGAGAUGGAAGGGAAAGUGGAAUUCCUAGUGUAGCGGUGAAAUGUGCAGAUAUUAGGAAGAAUACCGGUGGCGAAGGCGACUUUCUGGUCAUCAUCUGACGCUGAGGUACGAAAGCGUGGGUAGCAAACAGG
rnacentral:rRNA from 1 species